rnacentral:rRNA from 1 species
GAUGAACGCUGGCGGCGUGCCUAAUACAUGCAAGUCGAGCGAACAGACGAGGAGCUUGCUCCUCUGACGUUAGCGGCGGACGGGUGAGUAACACGUGGAUAACCUACCUAUAAGACUGGGAUAACUUCGGGAAACCGGAGCUAAUACCGGAUAAUAUAUUGAACCGCAUGGUUCAAUAGUGAAAGACGGUUUUGCUGUCACUUAUAGAUGGAUCCGCGCCGCAUUAGCUAGUUGGUAAGGUAACGGCUUACCAAGGCAACGAUGCGUAGCCGACCUGAGAGGGUGAUCGGCCGCACUGGAACUGAGACACGGUACAGACUCCUACGGGAGGCAGCAGUAGGGAAUCUUCCGCAAUGGGCGAAAGCCUGACGGAGCAACGCCGCGUGAGUGAUGAAGGGCUUCGGAUCGUAAAACUCUGUUAUUAGGGAAGAACAAAUGUGUAAGUAACUAUGCACGUCUUGACGGUACCUAAUCAGAAAGCCACGGCUAACUACGUG